rnacentral:rRNA from 1 species
AACGAACGCUGGCGGCAGGCUUAACACAUGCAAGUCGAGCGCCCCGCAAGGGGAGCGGCAGACGGGUGAGUAACGCGUGGGAACCUACCUGAAGGUACGGAACAACUCCGGGAAACUGGAGCUAAUACCGUAUGUGCCCGAAAGGGGAAAGAUUCAUCGCCUUCAGAUGGGCCCGCGUCAGAUUAGCUAGUUGGUGGGGUAAUGGCCCACCAAGGCGACGAUCUGUAGCUGGUCUGAGAGGAUGAUCAGCCACACUGGGACUGAGACACGGCCCAGACUCCUACGGGAGGCAGCAGUGGGGAAUAUUGGACAAUGGGCGCAAGCUUGAUCCAGCCAUGCCGCGUGAGUGAUGACGGCCUUAGGGUUGUAAAGCUCUUUCGACGGGGACGAUAAUGACGGUACCCGUAGAAGAAGCCCCGGCUAACUUCGUGCCAGCCGCCGCAGUAACAC